rnacentral:rRNA from 2 species
CGCACGACUCUCGGCAACGGAUAUCUAGGCUCUCGCAUCGAUGAAGAACGUAGCAAACUGCGAUACUUGGUGUGAAUUGCAGAAUCCCGUGAACCAUCGAGUCUUUGAACGCAAGUUGCGCCCGAAGCCGUUAGGCCGAGGGCACGUCUGCCUGGGCGUCACGC